rnacentral:lncRNA from 1 species
ACAGGCCGCAGCAUAAAAACAAGAACAAAGAAAAAUCAAAACAAACAGAAAGAAUUCCUUAAAUAGACAGGACAAGAGAACUUAUUGCCACAACAAACUCCGUCCAACCAAGAAAAAGAAAGCCCCAAUCAAUACUAUCUGCGCCCUCCUUGUAGAUAUAUUAGCACUAAAUUCUUCACACCUUUUCCAGAAUUACAAGAAUUGAAACUGAGCAUCAAAAAGACACAAUCAACAAUAUGGUACAAUAGUAACACAUUCAAAAAUAUAAUAAAUGGCAAAGCUGAUCAAAGCACCAAUCUACAUAAGAAAUCGCAACUAAAUGAUUGAACUGAAAAUUUUAAGCUUUGAUAACCAGAAAAAACAUGCUGAGAACAGCUGAUAUUCAUAACAAAUUGCACAAUCACAACCUGAAAUAAACACAAUCCAAGCACCACGUGUCAAAUACCAAGCAAUUGAAAUUUCUAAACUCAUGAUAACCACGCCACCUAACCAAAAAGAUUGCAACAUUUAUGCUGGUUUAAAAGAGAAGCAAACCGAUGAUGACAAGCCAACUUUGCAAGAACCCAAAGUUGUAUCAGCAGAAUCUAUAAAAUAAAUCAAAACAAGGAAUAAGGACAUGUCUGAGAGAACAGCAUAUAGCAGAGUUCUAAGCAACUUGUGAAAAGAAAGAUAGGGAAAAAAAAGAAUUUCACUCAUUUCCACGUAACGACCAACUUCAAAAAUUGUUGCUCAAACACGAGAAAGCCCAAAUCACAACCUCCAUCUACGAAAUUUUCAAACACCUUGAGCUUGAGUUAUCCCAAAAAAUUUCAUGAAAUAGGAUGCUACACUUCACAAAACCAGGAGACAAGGAUCAGCGCCAGAAGCAUAUGUUCUUCAGUGCUCAAAUAUCCGCCCAGCAGUGGAAACACUAGAGAAUGCAAACCUGGUUCACAUAACCACCGACUUACUUUGUGUAUUGUAAUGAGCUAUUAACCUAAGAUUACCAAUUAGCGACACCUAACCAAAAAGAUUGCAAACCUGGUUGACAUAACCACCGACUUACUUUGUGUAAUGUAAUGAGCUAUUAACCUGAGAUUUACCAAUUAGCGACACCUAACCAAAAAGAUGCAACAUUUAUGCUGGUUUAAGAGAAACAAACCGAUGUCGACAAGCCAACUUUGCAAGAACCCAAAGUUGUGGCAGCAGAAUCUAUAAAAUAAAUCGAAACAAGGAAUGAGGACAUGUGUGAGAGAACAGCAUAUACAGGCUUCUAAAUAAAUCGAAAUAAUGCGAGAGAAAAAAAAGCAUUUCACUUAUUUCCGCAGAACGACCAACUUCAAAAACUCUUGCUCAAACACGAGAAACCCCAAAUCACAACCUCCAUCUGUCAACAGAUCAACUAGAAAUUUUCAAACAGCUUGCUCUUGAGUUAUCCCAAAAUACCGCAAAGAAGUGGAAAACUUGAGAUUGCAAACCUGGUUGACAUAACCACCGACUUACUUUGUGUAAUGUAAUGAGCUAUUAACAUGAGAUUACCAAUUCGUGACACCUAACCAAAAAGAUGCAACAUUUAUGCUGGUUUAAAAGACAAACAAACCUAUGUCGACAAGCCAACUUUGCAAGAACCCAAAGUUGUAGCAGCAAAAUCUAUAAAAUAAAUCAAAAUCAAAACAAGGGAUAAGGACAUGUCUUGGAGAACAGCAUAUAGCAGCCUUCUAAACAACACGUGAAAUAAAGAGGGGGAAUAAAAAGCAUUUCACUUAUUUCCGCAUAACGAAGAACUUCAAAAACUCUUGCUCAAACACAAAAAGGCACAAAUUACAACCUCCACCUGUGAGCAGAUCAACUACAUAUUUUCACACAUCUUGCUCUUGAGUUAUCCCAAAAAAACUUCAUGAAAGAGGAAACUACACUUCACAAAACCAUGAAACAAGCAUCACCGGCAGAAGCAUAUGUUACUCAGUGCUCAAAUAUCCGCCCAGAAGUGGAAAAACUUGAGAUUGCAAACCUGGUUGACAUAUCCACCGACUUACUUUGUGUAAUGUAAUGAGCUAUUAACCUGAGAUUUCCAAUUAGUGACACAAGCCCAGCAAUGUAACUUAAAUCAUUCCAAAUCUCAAAACGCCAAAUGUUGAUCACAAGAGGGCAUAGCAAAAACCUGUCUUUUAACAGUCCAAAGAUGACUUUGGGCGGAAAUAGAAGUCCAAAGGCCACAUACCGGUUAUUCCGCAUCCAGGAGUCAACUAACAUACCAAUAUAAACACCACAACUGGACGAAGGGACAGCCUAACUUCAAUCUAGAAUUCAGGAUCUCCUUGGAACGUAAUGCCAGCGAUGCAUCAAGAUUCAAAACCUAACACAAAGAUCUUCCCCAAGAGCGAUCAUCAAACUUACUGAGAGAAACUUCUAAAUUGUGACGAAGAAAACCUUCCCAUGAUAGAAAUAAUUCAAUAUUGAAAGAACCCUAAUCCGUGAUGAGGAAAAUAUUCCCUGCAACCUAUCAACAAAGUUUGUCGGGAAGAAAACCAAAAUUGUAAAGAUUAUAGAUCAAGUAGCAAUGCAUCAAAACCUAACACGAAGAAGAACUUCCCUGAAAGCGAUCACCAAGGUCUUGAAAGAAAACCCUAAGAAGCAACCCUCCCCUGAUGAAAGCAUUCACUAAUCUGUGAUGAAGAAAUCAUUAACCCUAAUCUGUGACGAAGAAAAUCUACGCUGCAAGCGAUCAACAAAAUUUUUUUUUUGGAAGAAAACCCAAAGAUGUAGGAUGUAAGUAGCUAUGCAUCACCUAAAGAAGAUCCUCUCGGAACCGAUCACUUUCGUCUUCAAAACCUAAGUUGAGUAGAAAACAACCUUACCUGAAGCAUUCACCAACGUGGAAAAAUAAACCCUAUGUGUAACUAGAAAUCUUUCCUGCAACCUUCAACGAAGUAUAUUAGAAGAAACUACAAAUUUGUAAUAAAGAUUAUAGAAAUCUUCCACUGGCAACGCAUCGAAACCCAGCGAAAAGAAGAUCCUCCCUGAAAGCGUCGCCAACGUCUUGAAAGAAACCCUAAUUUGUUAUGACAACCUUCCCUGAAGCACUCACCAACGUAUUAGAAAGAACCCCUAAUUUGUAACGAAGAAAAUCUUUCCUGCAAGCGAUCAACAACGUAUUGGAAGAAAAACCAAUUCUGUGACAAAGACGAUAGGAAGAAAUCUUCUAUUGGCUAUUGACAAUUCUGUCACAAAAGAUGCAUCAAAACCAAAAACACAAACAAAACGUUCCUGAAAGCCAUCACCAAGGUAGAGGUAUUGCAAGAAAACCCUCCCUGAAAGGCCUAUACCGGCGCAAUGAGAAGCCCUAAUUUGUAACCAAGAAAGUCUUCCUGUAAGCGAUCAACAACAUAUUUGGAGAAAAACCAAAUCUGUAAACAAAGAUGACAGAAAUCUUCAACUGGCUAUGCAUCAAAACCAAACACAAAGCAAACCUUCCCUGAAAUCGAUCACCAACGUAUGGAAAGAAAACCUAACACAAGGAAGAGGCGAGAGUUUGAAACGAUGAAAUAUUAGGGUGGGGAUGGGCUAUUUAUAGUCAGUCGAGGCGGUGAAAAGGUCUAGUCCUAUCCAAAGUCUGUUGGCCUUAACGCGGAUUCUGACUGGCGUAAGACCAAAGCAAAUGGCCAUUAUUGUGACACCUGUUUUCUUUCUCUGACGUAAAGUCCACGAACGCCAACGGAGACUCGGUUGGCGAGUGCCUACUUGGUGAACAAGCAUCAACGAAAAACGCUUAAAAUAACUUGCAAAAAACAAAAAAACGCUUAAAAUAAACGUAGAAAAUAAAUAGUCGGUGUCUCGGUGAGUCGGUGACCAUUCACUUUUUGGCUGGUGAGGUAGAC